AGAGAUCAGAAAUACAAGAGGCAGAGGAAGCAAGGUUAAUGAGGAUUAAGGAAAUUGAAGCACAGCAUAGACGAAGAUAAUUGAUUAUGACUGAGUUUUAGGUGUCAUAUUAUUAUUGUAUUGCAAUCCCACCGAAUUUACUCAACAACAUGUUAUAAGAGUUGGUUACAUGCAUGUACAGUAAAUACACUUUAUUCAAUUUUGUGUAAUUUUUCUAGCAAUCUAAUUUUUAUAGAGUAGCUGUCAUUCUUAUAUUAAUUAUAUUACAAAAGAAAUACAUUAAUU